AACGUCAGGAAAAAAACUGCAAGGGACUAGGAACUGUGCGCAGGCGCCAUAAGGGUACUCUGUUGGGCUUUCACAGCGGGGCUUCGCUGGCCUCAAUCCGGAGGGAGGGAAAGAACCCGUGAGUCCCUUGUUUUUAACUAUAGCCUUAGGUUGGACAAUGAGUUUGAACUUAUAGAGCCCUAACCCUAACGGGGAGUCAGCCCGACUGGGUUUGAGGAGUGAGCAAGGAAGGCUUCCAGGCCUCCCUCGCUGCCUGGGGAAACCUGUUUUCGGUGAGCUCUUCAGCCAUGUGCAAGUCCCGAUUCUCACUUUUUGACAGACUCUGUCGCCAGAUAGGUAGCAAGCUUUAAAAUAGAACAAAGGGACACUCCUCUGCAAAUAAGGCUCUUUGUGGUUUGUGCAUCUGCCCUGACUGAGCAAGGGUUCAGUGGACUGCAGGCUUAGGUAGACUCCCACCUUAAAUGACUGCUCUUUCCCCCAAAAGCUCAAGCUCCAGGGAAAAGACCUGGACAAUCAUCUUUCACCUUAAGCAUGGAAAUUUUUACUCCAUUUUACAUGGCUUCCCAGUUUCCACUACCAGAGCCAAACUCUCUUGGCACGUAUGACAACAAAACUGCUUUCCUGUAUAGGAAAGGAAAUGGGAUUCGAGAUGUUUCUGUUGAACUGGGCUCUGCUCAUAAGGCAUAAGCAUGGGAAGCCAAGGGAGAAGAGAUUGUGGAUAAAUCUGACAUCUGGCAACCUACCUACUUGAGUGUGGACUGUGCGUGUCUCUGGAUAGGGAGUGAUGGGUAACAAAAACUUGUACAUAAGGGAGACAUUUAGUAUCUCAGAGCCUGAAGUUCUUCAUUCACAAAAUCCGAAAACAACCAGUGAAUUGGCCGGUUUUGUGUGUCAACUUGCCACAAGCUUGAACCAUUAGACAGGAAGGAGCCUCAGUUGAGGAAAUGCUUCCACGAGAUCUAGCUGUAAGGCAUUUCUCAAUUAGUGAUCAAGUGGGGGGGGGGGGAGGACCCAGCCCAUUGUGGGUGGUGCCAUUUCUGAGCUGGUGGUCUUGGGUUCUAUAAGAAAGCAGUCUUGUGAAACAAGCCAGUAAGCAGCACACUCCAUGGCCUCCGCAUCAACUCCUGCUUCCAGGCUCCUGUCCUGCUUGAGUUCCUGUCCUGACUUCCUUUGGUGAUGAACAGUGAUGUGGAAGUGUAAACUGAAUAAAUCCUUUACUCCACCAA